rnacentral:rRNA from 1 species
UGGGGAAUAUUGCACAAUGGGGGAAACCCUGAUGCAGCGACGCCGCGUGAACGAAGAAGGUAUUCGUAUCGUAAAGUUCUGUCCUAUGGGAAGAUAAUGACAGUACCAUAGAAGAAAGCUCCGGCUAAAUACGUGCCAGCAGCCGCGGUAAUACGUAUGGAGCGAGCGUUGUCCGGAAUUAUUGGGCGUAAAGGGUACGCAGGCGGUUUAAUAAGUCGAAUGUUAAAGAUCGGGGCUCAACCCCGUAAAGCAUUGGAAACUGAUAAACUUGAGUAGUGGAGAGGAGAGUGGAAUUCCUAGUGUAGUGGUGAAAUACGUAGAUAUUAGGAGGAAUACCAGUAGCGAAGGCGACUUUCUGGACACAAACUGACGCUGAGGUACGAAAGCGGGGGGAGCAAACAGG